AGGCAAACACAGACAGUUUCUAGUUGCAAGAUAUCCCCCAUGGCAGAGAAAAAAAAAAGUUUCUUCUGGGAUGCAGACAAUCCAGGAAUCAGUGAUAAUCCACUGACCUUUCUAGGAAGUAAGAGCAAAGAACAAACAGGUUAGAUUCUGAGAAGCUGUUUCUAAGUUUGAUGGUUUUUUUUUUCCUAAGCCUGAGGCACUGAGAAGGGUUCAAGCUUGUAUUCUCCAGAUGCAAGCCAACCUAUUGCUGCAACUGACAAAUGAGUAUAAUACUGACACAAAUGUGGGCUGUUUUUGUUUGUGUGUGAAGACAUAUGUCAGAACUCCACUCAUCUGUCAAUGAGGGUGCAAAUAAAGCCCGAUUUCCACUGGCAGCUAUUAUAACCAGGAGAGGAUCCUGCCUUUGGCUAAGGCCAGCGGAAAGGAAGGCAAAUGGAGAGACACAAAGAGCCUGAAUCUUUGAGCCAUCACUCAGUUGCGAUCAAACUGCCUGGAACCCACCCCACCCCGAUCGCCUGCUCGGACAAAAAUAACUGAAGCUCCCAUUGUUCAAACCAGCUUGUGUCAUGGUUUCUGAUGUUUAUAACUAAGACCAAUUCAAACAAUACAAUAUUUUAAAUCUUUAUUAUUUUUUAAGGAAACAAUAGCUUAAGGGUAAAAACUCAUCUCUAAUUGUAAAAAAAAAUUAUCUCUAAUUGUAGGCUUUUGAAGUUAGGGUCGGUCAGUAUUUUUAGAUAGAAUCUUUCAAAACUCAGGAGAGAGACUCAGCUUAUUUCAUGUGUAUGAUGAGGAUGUCUCCUUUAUUCUUUUUCCUGCUAUCACACUUAUGCCAGGCUUUCUUUCAAAACUUAACUCACCCAGCUCCUUGUCUUUGAAGCCUUCUUUUAAUUCUUCUCCCACAUUCCCCAAAACCAAGUCAAUUCUCUCCCUCAGUGCCCUCAUGUGUAUAAAUUGCAUAUCAUAUGGCAUUUUUUUCAUGUCUGUAAGACUCCCAAUUUCCCAAAGGAUUUACUGUUACAGCACACUGAAGUCCUGAGCCCUCCGCCACCCGCAAGGCCUUCCUCGGAGACAGGGACCUAUCCAGAGAUGUCUCUGUCACUGUCAGGAUGCGCUGCAAGUGGACAAAGGGUUUCCUUCGUGUUGACCCUAAGAAGACCUCGACUUGAUCAAGGAAGAACUGAGCAUGGCUUGCAGUAGAGACAGUCACACACAGCUUCCCAUGAAUAGGUGUGGGCCUGAUCAUCUUAGCACCUUCUCUAGCCUUCAAGAAGCUCUCAAAAUCAGGGCCAUCUUGGUAUUUCACUAGCUGCUUCUUUCUUUUUUUGAUAUUUUAAGAGACAGGGACUUGCUAUGUUGCCCAGGUUGGACUUGUAUUCCUGGGCUCAAGCCAUUAUCCUGCCCCAGGGCUCCCAAGUAGCUGGGACUACAGGCCUGUGCCACCUCACCCACCCUCGCUGUUUAUUUCAAUGAACUGCAGGUUGAUGAUGAUCAAUCUUCUUUCCUAAUCUCCUGGUUGAAAUUAGGGAUAUUCAGAUUUUUUUGAAGUGGAGACUAUCAGGGUGUUAGAAGACCUAGUUCUGAACCUGCUCUCUGCUAACUUACCAUACGACUUUAGGCAAGUUGCUGCCCCACUAAGAACUUCAGUCUUAUCUGUGAAAUCAAGGGACUGGACUAAGUGGUCUCCGAGAUCCCCUCCAGCUGAAACCAUCUCCUGUACUGUCCACUAUUAUAGCAAAUAACCACACAUGGCUGAUUAAAUCUAAAUUAAUGAAAUAAAAGUCAGAAUGUAGUUCCUCAAUCUCACUAAUCAUAUGUCAAGGGCUUUAAUAGCCAUGUGUGGCCAGUGGCUGCCAGGUUGAACAGUGUAGUUCUCCUGCUCUCAUUUUAUUGAUGAUCAUGGUUUCAUAACAAAACCUGCCAGUUGAAGACCACUUUCACGUGUAUGGUGCAUUUUAAUACACGCUUACAUUUAACUACCCAAAAUAGGCAAGAGAGAUAUUCUAAUAUCUGCCUUAUCAGAUGAGGACACUAACUCAAAGAGUAAAUUACUUGCUAUAGGGUCAUACCACUAAUGACUAAAUGUAGUUUCCAAGCCCAGGACUCUCUAACACAUGGUACAAAGUCAUGACGAGAAGACAUGUGCCCCCUGGCCAAAACUAUUCAACCCAUGGUAGCACCAGAACUGAGAUCCAGGGAUUAAGGGCUGAUCUGGAGACCCUGUGCCUUGGUGUAGACCUUAGCUCAGCACAUCCUAGCUGUGUGACCAUGGGCAAGUUAUUUAAUAUCUCUGGGCUCCUUUCUAGUCCUCUGUUAAAUGGGAAUGACCACAGGAUCCACUGCUUAUGAGAACUGCACAAGUAGAUGCAAAUAAAAUGCUUUGCAUGG
rnacentral:lncRNA from 1 species